UACGGAGGGGGCUAGCGUUGUUCGGAAUUACUGGGCGUAAAGCGCGUGUAGGCGGCCCUGCAAGUCGGGGGUGAAAGCCCGAGGCUCAACCUCGGAACUGCGUUCGAUACUGCGGGUCUCGAGUACGGGAGAGGUGAGUGGAAUUCCUAGUGUAGAGGUGAAAUUCGUAGAUAUUAGGAAGAACACCAGUGGCGAAGGCGGCUCACUGGCCCGGUACUGACGCUGAGGCGCGAAAGCGUGGGGAGCAAACAGG
rnacentral:rRNA from 1 species